rnacentral:piRNA from 1 species
UAAUCGACCAAUAUUAGCUGCAUUUCC